UUCAAGUUGAACUUAGAUUCAUUUUUUGGACAAACAGCUAUCACCAGGCUCGUUAGGCUUUUCACCUCUACCUACAAGUCUUCUCACUAUUUUGCCACAUAGAUGAGUGGGUUUUUUAAACUGCUCGUAGGUAGAGGUGAAAAGCCUAACGAGCCUGGUGAUAGCUGUUUGUCCAAAAAAUGAAUCUAAGUUCAACUUGAAAUAUACCUAAAAGCCUAAAAACUAUAAUGUAACUUUCAAGUAUAGUCUAAAAAGGUACAACUUUUUAGAAACAGAAUUAAAUCUUAAUUAGAGAGUAAAUAGUAUAAUAACCAUAGUUGGCCUAAAAGCAGCCAUCAAUUAAGAAAGCGUCAAAGCUCAACAAUAAAACAUAACUAAUACCACAAAUUAAAAUUAACUCCUAAACUAAUAUUGGACUAAUCUAUUAACAAAUAGAAGAAAUACUGUUAGUAUGAGUAACAAGAAAUAAAUCUCCUUGCACAAGCUUAUA